UCCAGCCCAUUUCUACUAGCUUUAAAUCAAUUUGGUGACAGUAUGCUUUUAACAAAUGCAUGUAAAAUUUACACAUUCUCUUCACAGAUCUGAAUUUUUUAUGUGACUCAUAUUGCGCUACACAAAUGUUAUCCAAUCAAAUACUUUCUAGAGCAAGUCCCUCCUCCAAACACCAUCUGAAAGCGACUAACAGCACAGUGUAGCUCUGUGAAGUGUCUCAGUUGGAGAUGUAAGAAUAAUAACAGAUUUACCUUUACAGAAGAUCUGAACCGCUCUGAAUGUGAAGAAGUGUCCUGAGGAGCAGCAGGUGUUGAGAGCAGAAUUACUUCAAUGCGAAACAUAAGGACUGAGGACUUCAUGCGGAAAGUUACCUACAGCAGCUACAUCUGUGGUAAUAAAUCUGAUUGA
ensembl:lncRNA